rnacentral:rRNA from 1 species
GAGCGGUAGAGAGAAGCUUGCUUCUCUUGAGAGCGGCGGACGGGUGAGUAAUGCCUAGGAAUCUGCCUGGUAGUGGGGGAUAACGUUCGGAAACGGACGCUAAUACCGCAUACGUCCUACGGGAGAAAGCAGGGGACCUUCGGGCCUUGCGCUAUCAGAUGAGCCUAGGUCGGAUUAGCUAGUUGGUGGGGUAAUGGCUCACCAAGGCGACGAUCCGUAACUGGUCUGAGAGGAUGAUCAGUCACACUGGAACUGAGACACGGUCCAGACUCCUACGGGAGGCAGCAGUGGGGAAUAUUGGACAAUGGGCGAAAGCCUGAUCCAGCCAUGCCGCGUGUGUGAAGAAGGUCUUCGGAUUGUAAAGCACUUUAAGUUGGGAGGAAGGGUUGUAGAUUAAUACUCUGCAAUUUUGACGCUACCGACAGAAUAAGCACCGGCUAACUCUGUG